rnacentral:lncRNA from 1 species
UUUAAACCAUUCACCCUUUUAGUUUAAAGUUAUACAAAAGUUAUAAAGUCUAACACUUACCACCAAAUAAAUAGGUUUAUAUUUAUGUAGUUGUUGGACAAACUAUUUUAGAAAUUAAAGUAAAAAAAAAAAAAAAGCGUUUAAACCUCUAGAAAACCUACCAGAUUCUGCAAAAUUCUGCACCGCGUUUACUAUCUCAACUUUUAAAUCCUCCCAAAAAUGUUCGAGCUAGAGCUUUUACUACUUUCACAAUUCUAAAUUACAUUUUUAAUCUCUUGUUUAUGUGCCCGAUUAGGAUUUCGCUGUCCUCCAUACUAAUUGAUUGGAACUCAAUGUUGUCAAGAGCCUAACCUGCACCACCUCCAGUUGUCUAAAUGGAAAUAUUUUGAAUUGUUAAAACAAUAUUUGAAUUAAAUUAAAAUUGUUUAAAAGAACUUAAUUAUUAUAUUAGUUUAAAACUAAAUUAUUUCUAAAUAAAAAUAAUUAAACUAUAACUUGCGAAAUUAAAAAAUAUAUUAUGGGGUAUUCAUUGGUAAUAAUUGAAAUAAUUAAAAAAAAAUAAACAAUUUAAAAACAAUGUAUAAUAGUUUAAUUUGGUUUAAAACAAUUUAGUUCAUAGUAUAUGGUGGCAAGACUCUAUUAUUAUUGAUCAUAGUUUGAUGAGGGAUAUGUAAUAAAGGUGUUAACUACAGGAAGUAGUAGACUAUUUACUCAGUAAAUUAUCGAAUCCAAUGUUUCAUUGAACAAUAAACAAAAAAAAAAACCAUACGACACAUGUUCGUGAAAACAUGGUUUCGGAUUGAUGACUUCAGAGUAGGUAAAUCUGUAACUUGGUCGGUUGGUUUAAGCAAACAUGAGUAGGUGGGAAUCCGUUGUGAACACCUGCAAAGAAACUGAAAAUAACAAAAAAGUACAAUAAAAUAGGAAUGAACAGGGAAAAGUGUGUGGGAAAUUCUUGUAAAUUCCGAAGGCAAAGCUAAUCAAAGAUCGCACUUUGGCUAAAGAAAAGAGGAAGCAACGCACGCACGAUGACCCCAGAGGGAAGAGGGAAAAGGGAAAAGGGAGAAGAGAAUCAAAAUGAGGUGGAAGUUAGAGGCUGAAAGGAAUAUGAAACCUUUUUUUGUUUUUGAAGGAAUAUCAAACCUAAU